CUCCAGACUCCUACGGGAGGCAGCAGUGGGGAAUAUUGCACAAUGGGGGAAACCCUGAUGCAGCAACGCCGCGUGAGUGAAGAAGUAUUUCGGUAUGUAAAGCUCUAUCAGCAGGGAAGAAGAUGACGGUACCUGAGUAAGAAGCCCCGGCUAACUACGUGCCAGCAGCCGCGGUAAUACGUAGGGGGCAAGCGUUAUCCGGAUUUACUGGGUGUAAAGGGAGCGUAGACGGUGAGACAAGUCUGGAGUGAAAGCCCGGGGCCCAACCCCGGGACUGCUCUUGGAACUGCGUGGCUGGAGUGCAGGAGGGGCAGGCGGAAUUCCUGGUGUAGCGGUGAAAUGCGUAGAUAUCAGGAGGAACACCGGUGGCGAAGGCGGCCUGCUGGACUGCAACUGACGUUGAGGCCCGAAAGCGUGGGGAGCAAACAGGAUUAGAUACCCCCGUA
rnacentral:rRNA from 1 species